ACGGGAACGGAUUGAAGGUGUUUGAGGAGUGAGGGUUGGUGGAGAAAAGGUUGAAGAAGGACGGGUUUGAUUUUGUGACGGAGAUUGUAAUGAUAGUGGCGGAGGUGGUGGUAGAGGUAGAGCUGAUCCAGCCAUUAACAAGGAGAUGAUGAAGAAGAAGGAAAAGAAGAAAAAAAAA